AACACGUGGGUAACCUGCCCAUAAGAGGGGGAUAACAUUCGGAAACGGAUGCUAAUACCGCAUAUUUCAAGUGACCGCAUGGUCGCUUGAUGAAAGGUGGCUUCGGCUACCACUUAUGGAUGGACCCGCGGUGCAUUAGUUAGUUGGUGAGGUAAUGGCUCACCAAGACCAUGAUGCAUAGCCGACCUGAGAGGGUGAUCGGCCACACUGGGACUGAGACACGGCCCAGACUCCUACGGGAGGCAGCAGUAGGGAAUCUUCCGCAAUGGACGAAAGUCUGACGGAGCAAUGCCGCGUGAGUGAAGAAGGUUUUCGGAUCGUAAAACUCUGUUGUUAGAGAAGAACAAGGAUGAGAGUAACUGCUCAUCCCCUGACGGUAUCUAACCAGAAAGCCACGGCUAACUACGUGCCAGCAGCCGCGGUAAUACGUAGGUGGCAAGCGUUGUCCGGAUUUAUUGGGCGUAAAGCGAGCGCAGGCGGUUCUUUAAGUCUGGUGUGAAAGCCCCCGGCUCAACCGGGGAGGGUCAUUGGAAACUGGAGAACUUGAGUGCGGAAGAGGAGAGUGGAAUUCCAUGUGUAGCGGUGAAAUGCGUAGAUAUAUGGAG
rnacentral:rRNA from 1 species